rnacentral:lncRNA from 1 species
UAACAAUUAGUUUUAGGAAGUGCCUACUUCUGUGAGCAAAUAAUCAAUUACCUGUCAUAGCAGCCACUCUUUCCUGAAACUGCCUUCCAACCAGGUGUGCAGUUUCUGAAAUUCUACCAAUGGCUUUACUUCCUCCAGGUGUCUUCUGGAGGAGUAAGGAACCGUGACCAGACAGACACAAAUACAUAUGGCCAUUAGUAAUAUCAUUACCAAGCUAACUACAGGAAUCCAGGGCAGUAUGCAGGCAUAAGAGGUCCAGGAAGAGCAGAACAGAAGACAGUUGUGUGGAGAGCAAGUGAAGAGAGGCACUGAAGACAAACUCUCCCAUCCUUCUGACUUUACCUGGUCCCAGUCCUGGGUGAGCAACUCACAUAACCUUAGGCUUUGAGAUGGUUUGGCCUAUCAUGGGCCCUGAGAGAAUAUUGGACAAAAAUGUUGUUCUUUAGAGUUUAUGGAGAAAGAAACAGAAACAGGAUUUGGUUAUUAUUUUGAAGUGGGCAGAAAAACUGAGGAGCAACCUAACUGCACCAUUCAAUAGAUUAUAAUGCAAACAAGGACCAGAAAUGGCUACUGUCAGAAGUGAGUGAGAAACAAAGCCUGGGGAAAGGAUGUAGGAUCACAGGAUGUCUGCCAGCUCCUCUCCAGCCACCCAUUCUCAUAGCGGGUGAGCCAGACCACAUCUGCUAAUCCAGGAGCACAGCUCAGGACUAGUCUAUGCGGAUGGAAUCUCUCUCCAGCCUUUUCUCUAUGUCAGUUUUAUCUACCUGGCAAGAAAAAACAAAAACAACCCCAAAACAACCCCUCCCCACAAACACAACACAAAACAAGGGACUCGAAAAGUUGGAGAAAACCUUUUAAUGUGUUUCUGUAAAAUCCUUUCUUAGGAGGUUUAGUACAGGUACUACCCAUCAGCAACUUAGCCGGCCAGGUGAGUUGGUGCAGAAGGGCUUCGGCUGAAUUUAUACCAGAGCCAUCGGGAGUGACUUGGCCACCUCUCCCAAUUACCACAAGGAAGUCUUAAAAUUGAAUUUCAGUUUCAGCAGAUACUUCAGAUUUACCUGAGCAAUAUCAUAGACAAUGUACUCAUUAUAUAGUAGACAAGUGUCAUUCACACCAGAUGAAAUCCCAGUCCCAAGAGGAACCUCUGCACCAUCCAGAGUAAUACUAGCUGAAGGGUCAGGGGUAGUUUUGCCCAAACCUUUGACACUGUGCUUGCCCUUGGGUAACUUGCUGAUAUGUGAAGCGUGCUUCAGUUCAUACAUUUUCCAAGGGCAACUUCUCCCAACAGGAUUAAGCCUGUUGGGCCUCCCUGAGAUGUAUGGCAGUAGUUGGCACUCUUGGAGGCCAUGUCAGCGAAAUAGAUCCCUUUACCAAACAUGUAGCCCGUCAUGGGCACUUCAGGCGGGGCUAUCCAA